AUUGAACGCUGGCGGCAGGCCUAACACAUGCAAGUCGAGCGGAGCGGGGGACGCGUGAGUAUUGCCUAUGAAUCAGCCUGGUAGCGGUGGAUAACGUCCGGUAACGGGCGCUAAUACUGCUUACUAUCAGAUGUGACUAGGUCGGAUUAGCUAGUUGGUGGGGUAAAGGCCUACCAAGGCGACGAUCCGUAUCUGGUCUGAGAGGAUGAUCAGUCACACUGCAACUGGGACACGGUCCAGACUCCUACGGGAGGCAGCAGUGGGGAAUAUUGGACAAUGGGCGAAAGCCUGAUCCAGCCAUGCCGCGUGUGUGAAGAAGGUCUUCGGAUUGUAAAGCACUUUAAGCUGGGAGGCGUUACCAACAGAAUAAGCACCGGCUAACUUCGUGCCAGCAGCCGCGGUAAUAC
rnacentral:rRNA from 1 species